AGCGCAUACGGUGGAUGCCUUGGCAGUCAGAGGCGAUGAAAGACGUGGUAGCCUGCGAAAAGCUUCGGGGAGUCGGCAAACAGACUUUGAUCCGGAGAUCUCUGAAUGGGGGAACCCACCUAGGAUAACCUAGGUAUCUUGUACUGAAUCCAUAGGUGCAAGAGGCGAACCAGGGGAACUGAAACAUCUAAGUACCCUGAGGAAAAGAAAUCAACCGAGAUUCCCUUAGUAGUGGCGAGCGAACGGGGAUUAGCCCUUAAGCUUCAUUGAUUUUAGCGGAACGCUCUGGAAAGUGCGGCCAUAGUGGGUGAUAGCCCCGUACGCGAAAGGAUCUUUGAAGUGAAAUCGAGUAGGACGGAGCACGAGAAACUUUGUCUGAACAUGGGGGGACCAUCCUCCAAGGCUAAAUACUACUGACUGACCGAUAGUGAACCAGUACCGUGAGGGAAAGGCGAAAAGAACCCCGGAGAGGGGAGUGAAAUAGAACCUGAAACCGUAUGCGUACAAGCAGUGGGAGCCUACUUGUUAGGUGACUGCGUACCUUUUGUAUAAUGGGUCAGCGACUUAUAUUCAGUGGCAAGCUUAACCGUAUAGGGUAGGCGUAGCGAAAGCGAGUCUUAAUAGGGCGUUUAGUCGCUGGGUAUAGACCCGAAACCGGGCGAUCUAUCCAUGAGCAGGUUGAAGGUUAGGUAACACUGACUGGAGGACCGAACCCACUCCCGUUGAAAAGGUAGGGGAUGACUUGUGGAUCGGAGUGAAAGGCUAAUCAAGCUCGGAGAUAGCUGGUUCUCCUCGAAAGCUAUUUAGGUAGCGCCUCAUGUAUCACUCUGGGGGGUAGAGCACUGUUUCGGCUAGGGGGUCAUCCCGACUUACCAAACCGAUGCAAACUCCGAAUACCCAGAAGUGCCGAGCAUGGGAGACACACGGCGGGUGCUAACGUCCGUCGUGAAAAGGGAAACAACCCAGACCGCCAGCUAAGGUCCCAAAGUUGUGGUUAAGUGGUAAACGAUGUGGGAAGGCUUAGACAGCUAGGAGGUUGGCUUAGAAGCAGCCAUCCUUUAAAGAAAGCGUAAUAGCUCACUAGUCGAGUCGGCCUGCGCGGAAGAUGUAACGGGGCUCAAACCACACACCGAAGCUGCGGGUGUCACGUAAGUGACGCGGUAGAGGAGCGUUCUGUAAGCCUGUGAAGGUGAGUUGAGAAGCUUGCUGGAGGUAUCAGAAGUGCGAAUGCUGACAUGAGUAACGACAAUGGGUGUGAAAAACACCCACGCCGAAAGACCAAGGGUUCCUGCGCAACGUUAAUCGACGCAGGGUUAGUCGGUUCCUAAGGCGAGGCUGAAAAGCGUAGUCGAUGGGAAACAGGUUAAUAUUCCUGUACUUCUGGUUACUGCGAUGGAGGGACGGAGAAGGCUAGGCCAGCUUGGCGUUGGUUGUCCAAGUUUAAGGUGGUAGGCUGAAAUCUUAGGUAAAUCCGGGGUUUCAAGGCCGAGAGCUGAUGACGAGUCGUCUUUUAGAUGACGAAGUGGUUGAUGCCAUGCUUCCAAGAAAAGCUUCUAAGCUUCAGGUAACCAGGAACCGUACCCCAAACCGACACAGGUGGUCGGGUAGAGAAUACCAAGGCGCUUGAGAGAACUCGGGUGAAGGAACUAGGCAAAAUGGCACCGUAACUUCGGGAGAAGGUGCGCCGGCUAGGGUGAAGGAUUUACUCCGUAAGCUCUGGCUGGUCGAAGAUACCAGGCCGCUGCGACUGUUUAUUAAAAACACAGCACUCUGCAAACACGAAAGUGGACGUAUAGGGUGUGACGCCUGCCCGGUGCCGGAAGGUUAAUUGAUGGGGUUAGCGCAAGCGAAGCUCUUGAUCGAAGCCCCGGUAAACGGCGGCCGUAACUAUAACGGUCCUAAGGUAGCGAAAUUCCUUGUCGGGUAAGUUCCGACCUGCACGAAUGGCGUAACGAUGGCGGCGCUGUCUCCACCCGAGACUCAGUGAAAUUGAAAUCGCUGUGAAGAUGCAGUGUAUCCGCGGCUAGACGGAAAGACCCCGUGAACCUUUACUGUAGCUUUGCACUGGACUUUGAGCCUGCUUGUGUAGGAUAGGUGGGAGGCUUUGAAGCGUGGACGCCAGUUCGCGUGGAGCCAUCCUUGAAAUACCACCCUGGCAUGCUUGAGGUUCUAACUCUGGUCCGUAAUCCGGAUCGAGGACAGUGUAU
rnacentral:rRNA from 1 species